CGUUAGCUGGUUGAGGUGCGAAAUCACUGCGACAGCUAAAUAUCAAUAUUAUAGAAGAAAGAAAAUAAUUAAAAUGGAAGACAAGAAAAAGAACGGAUCCUGGGAGCCACAGAGCUUACAAUCUGCUAUUGAUGAGGUUAUGCCAAAAAAAGCGAGACAAUUUUCGUAAUUUGCUUAGAAGACUGGAUCCAGUGCUCAUCCUGUCGGGGGUGGAUACGUGAAGUAUGUGAAGACAUUCUAGAGUGUGAAAAUGGCUAAAUAUGCUGGUUAUUUUGAAAUUUCCAGUGCUAGGGGUAUGGCGCAAAUAGCCGUCCGGUACUAGGUGCCACUUUUUAAAAUUACGUUUUUUGUUAUCAAGGUUUGAUUGAUAGUAUUAAUUAUUUUGGAGCAGAGGUUGCAUUUUUGAUAAUUUAAUUUGAUUUCUAACUUUGUCAUCUUAUAUAAAUCAUAAUUUAAUAAACAUUUCUUAAACUA